UUGCAAUCAUAUUACAUUGAAACACCGCUUCCCAUAAAGAUCACCGAAGUUAAGCAACGUCGAGCCUGGGCAGUACAUAGGUGAGUGACCGCUUGGGAAUACCAGGUGCUGUAAG